rfam:Candidatus Marinimicrobia bacterium CG1_02_48_14 cg1_0.2_scaffold_17671_c, whole genome shotgun sequence.
GGGGGCGACUUGGUUUCGACGGGAUGUCGGAGACCGCUGGUUGCAUGUGGUGGUUCGCACGAAAUCACCUUAAAAAUCGCGCAAACCAAAAUACAUGGCGAGUAUAACUAUGCCAUGGCUGCCUAAUUAAUCUUAAUUAGGUAGCCCGUUCUGCACUGACUUUGUCUGUGGGUUAGUGACAGGGCGUCGUGUUCACAGGCUCGGUAGCUGUCAUACCAGGGGGCAGGUACUUAAAUUUUCUUGGUUGGCCUGAGCAUGAGCCCGUCUGACGGCGCUGUUCAGGCGAGAUUAAAGGUCAGAAUAAACAUGUAGAUACUGGUUGGCUUUGCAUUGCGGACGGGAGUUCGAUUCUCCCCGCCUCCACUC